UAUUAAAGACAUGUUUCAAGAAAAAAACAAUCAACUGUCGCCGAUCAAGAAUCAGCUGUUUUGUAUCAAUCCGCGUGUGAAAAAACACUGUCCACUCAUUCCAACCGCAUUACUCAUUUAACGUGUUUUUACGCGUGAAAAACAUAGUUCUGUUAAAAAAUUGUAAAGAUCACAUUAUUGCAGUUAUAUUUCUGUCCGAUUUAAACAGCGUACACUAUCUAGCACUGAUAAAGAAGACAGGUUUCCAAAAAGGUUCGUCAGGUUUUUUAAUCAAAGCUUGUUUUGACAAAAUCUCGUCACUGACAGACAGCCCCGUCGUGCAUCGGCAGAUACAUGCAUUUCACAUUGAGAAGAGGAAACAUGGAAAACUUGUCAAUUUUUUUAUGUGUCAUUUGACAAAAAUGCCAAAACCUAUAACAACAACAUAGACGGAAUGUACAGAAGUCUUAUUUGUUAGAGAAAAGUUACGAAAAGAAGGUAAACUUUGAAAAGUAUGAUUGCUGUCACAGUGUCGGAAUGAAUGACCCGACUUGACCCAGAUAUGAGACAGCCGAAACCAGGAAUGACAAGAGAACCGGCGUUACAGUUUAAUCCGAACAAGUUUAAAGAACAUCGUGUGUGAUUUGAGACAAGUGUCACUGAUUGGAAACAUGUGCAUGUGGGAUUUCAGGAGGAUUUGUCAAACGCGGAGUGGACACAGUCAGAUGACGGGAGUUUGUUGAUAUUUUGAUGUGAUUCAUAAUGGUCGAAUACCUGUUGAUAGACAAUCACGGUAUCUGGAGACUUGGUGCUAAGCUGUCCGCAUUCACGGAGUUCAUUUAGUUCAGUGUCGGACACAGGAUCAGCUCGCUGGGUUAUCGAUGUCAUCAUCGUUCACAAAGGCAAACCUGUCUGUACAAAGUCCGACUUUUGGAUUCGGCCGGUCGAAAAAUUCAUCAAACAGCAAGCCCUCUAACACAGACGCAAACCAGGACUUGGUGGUGAUGAUCUUGGCGCCCUAGAGACAGUUUCUGGCAACAUCACAAUCUGAAUCUUGGAACUUCAAUCUGGCCAUAUGCAGUUUUGACAACAAAGACAUUAAAUGUGUUCAGAGGUUGAAUUAUACGAAUAACUUUUCAUGUCAGUCAGAUCUCCGAGGUCAUUUACUUUGACAGGUCUCAAAUGGCCAGCCAUGUUUGUUUACAAACGGGGACGUAGUUUUGGUUUUUACUGUAAAAUGAAAAUCAUGUGAAAUAAAUGAAAAAAUUGAUAAUGUGAAAUCAUGUUGUUAAUAUGAAACUAUGUGUCUUGUCUUAAAAAUCCCGAAUCAGUGAGAUUGUAGCACGUAAAACAUCUGAAGGGAAAGGCGUGGAUUUGUGAAAGAAUGGGAUGAGAGAAAAAAUAGUUCCGUUGUCCAAUGAAAAUUGAUCUUUGUUCCACUGACCAAUCAGCUUCGAGAAUCACUAAUUGCACACUG